UUUCUUCUUUCAGUCUUUCAUUCCUCUCCUCGGCGCCUCAGCAAUUCAAUCCUUAAUCAAAACUUCAGUUCCUCCCUUCCUUAAUCCUCCAUCAGCUUUUGACUUCGAUCGGAUUCUUCUGAGGCGAAGCGGUUACAACCAAGGGUUUUCUGGGUUUGAAUCUUCCUCUCUUCGUGUCAUUUAAUACUACUGCUACUCUCACUCCUUCAUCACGUAGAUCUGAUAACCAGCCCCAGACAACAAAUCAUGAUGAAGUUAUUGGCUGACAGUUUGGAUAUCUUGUAUCACAUGUCUUCGUCCUUUCCGAGCUUUGUUGCGAAGGUGGUAACUUGGUAUCUACUAGAGGUGUUAAUGGUGGAAAAGAAGCCUCAGGUUCCUGCUCCUGUAGCAAAAUCCAGUAGCCACUAGCCAAGGUAAUAGAAUAGAUCUGAGUUCAAAAGAUCCGAGCUUUGUUGCCAAGGUAUGUUUAAAAACGAAGGAAUAGAAAAGAUAUGUUUUUAAAAGAUCAGAACUUUGUACUGGCCCUUCAUAUUCUUGAUCUUAACAUUGUUCUUGUGUAUGUUGUAUA